UGUGACCUACACCAUAGCUCAGGGCAAUGCUGGAACCUUAACACACCGAGCGAUGGAAUGGAACCCGCAUCCUCAUGGAUCCUAGUUGGGUUCAUUAACUGCUGAGCCACAAAGGGAACUUCCUAUCCUAUUUUUAACAUGUUAAGGUUUAUCUCUUUCCUAGGAGAUAGCCAACACUUUGAGAACUGAAAUGUAAGUGGGUGCUAGUGUGGUAUUUUGCUAGCCACUGUCUCUCCUUUCCUCCUUCAAUCAGGUAUUAUAUAUCUUUUUAUUCCGUGAACACUCUUAAACAAUGUUAAUAUCAAGGAUUACCAAAACAAAGUCAGCCUGAUUAGCCCUUGAAGACUUUUUUUUUUUUAAUUUAGUCACAUAGAAAAAAGUUUAAGAGUAUGGAAUAUGGAAUUAUCCAAACCUGGAUUCAAUUCCUGGCUCUGCCAUUUACUAGAAAUGAGACUUUGACCAAUGACUUCACCUCUUUAAAUCUCAGCUGCUCCAUUUGUAAAAGAGGGACCUUGUGGUGCCUUAUCAUUAGAUUGUUGUGCAAACCACAGAAAAUUAUUCUUGGGAAGCACUUAGCACAGUGCCUGGUCUGUAGGAAGAGCUUGGUAAAUGUCACCUAUUACCAUUGCCAAUGCAAUAUCAUUAAAGAAUUAACAGGCUAUCCCUGGCAUGUUCAUGCCAUCAAGACUGUAACAGUCUAAAGUUAUAGGCAUUCUUUUUUGUUUGUUUUUUGCUUUUUUUUCCCUGGAUAGAUUGCUUUAUAAAAUCAAUCUCUCUUCCAAGAAAAUAGGAGCAUCUAGUUAACUAAUUAAAAGUUUUCGAUAGUGUUGUCAGAGGUCAGAAGAGACCUGUAUCACACAUGGGCAAAUGUGUUCACAGACCAAAUAAGUCAAAAAUAGGAGCAGUUUAACCUAAUAAAGAACUGAUCAUUUUGAAGCAGAGUAACUUUUGUCCAUCCUGAUAUUGUGGGUUUGUUUUGUAUGCAUUCUAAGCAUAAGUGACACAGAAUAUUCAGCCACUUUUGGAGGAAGGCAUAAACAUAAAACUGAAACAGUGUAAGCUGUAAAUUUUCAAUGACCACUGAAAGUAAAUCUCUCCUUACUUUCUAAGUAUGGAUCCCCAAAGAGCCUAUUUUUUCCUCUCACUGUUUGGAUAAUAUCCUCAAAGAAUGGCUCUUUGGAUUUUUAUUUCUAACCUUUAGUGUGUAAAAGACACUUGCCCAAAUCAUAUACACAUAUAUGUCUCAAAUUGGUUCAUAUGUCUGUACCUAAUCUGCUAGAGUUAGGAGUUAUCCUGUGCAUAUUAACAUGUAUAUGUAUCUCUUCAUAUUUUAUAUAGCCAAGUGCAACAUCUGAAAGGGAAACAGAAGGAAAGGAGAAUUACAGCUCUAAGAUACUUUCUGGUGGGCUAGAAGUGGAGACGAAGCUAUUAAUAUCUCUCUUAAAGUGCAGCAAAAAAUGGGAUUGCACUUUACAUCUGACCAUCUUCACUUCAGUGGGAAAUUUCUGCUUCCAGAGACACAAGUUUUGUUGAGAUGUAAUUGACACAAGUGCCCUAUAAGUGUAAGGAAUACAGAAUAAUGAUUUGACUUGCAUGUAUCCUGAAAUAAUUACCAUGACAAGUUCAAUGAACAUCCAUCAUCUCAUUAAAAAUUAACGAACAAAAAUUCCUUGUGACGAGAACUCUUAGGACUUAAAUGUUAGCAAUUUUCAUAUGUAACAUAUGGUAGUGAUAAUGAUAUUAAUCGUGUUGUACAUUAUAUACCUGUUUCUUCUCUAUCUUAUAACUGGAAGUUUGUACCUUGGAACACCCAUGAUUUUAUUUGCUAUCUCCUUGUGUCACUUCCUCUGUGAAGCCUUCCCUGAUUUCUCCCAGCACAGUUAGUCAUUUCUCACUCUUAGAUGCCAUGGUAUGAAAUUCCUUGAUGGAAAUGGCAAACUGUCAAGAAAAUCAGGAACUUUGGAACCAAGCGUGCCUAGGUUCUAAUGCCUGUUCUAACUCUGUGACUGGAGGCACGACACACAACCUCUCUGAACUUCAGCUGCUCUGUUUUUUCCAAGACAAAAGCCGUGAUCGUAAUCCACAGCAGGUUGUUGUGAAUAUGGUAGGGGCUCAUGGAGGGCCUGGGAGGCUUAUGAAUGGCUACUGUUUUUAUACUUCUGCAUUGACUCUUAUUAAAGAACCAAAAUGUUAGUGUUUUUUCAUAGUUUUGUUCUGUUAUGUUUUGUUUUCCUCCCAAAUCAACCUUGAGUUCCUGGAGGGAAGAAGCUCCCUUAAUCAUCUUGGUCCUAGAUGUCUAGACAAGCCUGGCCCAGGGUGAAUGUUUGCAGAAUGCGUGCAGUGCACCCCAUCUUGCCAGCCAGGCUGUAGUUUCAUGAAGUUAGGGGCUGAGGACUAGACUUCUUUAUAUUCCUUGUGAUUAGUAAUUCCUAGCAUGGAACUUAGACUAGCUGAUUAGCAUGUGAAUGAUGACUCAGAUUGAUAUGCUGUAAAUUGUCCGUUCACUUAGUCAUCCAGCUAAGUAUUCAUGUCAUUCAGCUAAUUAAUGAAGCUCUACUUCAGGUAUAUAUUGAACAGCACUCCCAAUUUUUUCUUCAUUUUCCAUUUCCCAUAAAAUUUCAACUCCUUGGUUCUAUUGUUCCUUGCUUAAUCAUCACUAAUAGCAUCACUCUUAAAUCUCUAUGAAAUUCAUCUCUGAAAAGUAGCACAGUUUUUUUUUUUUCUUUUUUAGUUCCCAAAUGUUGCAAUGUCCUAUGCGGUUUAUUUGCAAAAAAAAAUGACCAUCUCCUGGCUGAAAUGAGAUUGAUGAGGCUUACUGUCAAUUUGUAGGACUUGAAAUUUCUUUGGGGGAAUCUAUCAAGUGGCCUACUUCAUUCAGAUAUAUAGAAUUUUCUUCCUUUGUUUGUUAGCUGUCCCACCUGGAGCAAGAAGCAUAGGAUGUGAAGGAAGUUUCCAUGGCACAGUUGCUGGGUGAGUCCCUCCCUGUCUUGCAGUGGCUCACUCAUUUCAAAGUUAAGUAUAGGAGUUCCCAUUGUGGCUCAGCGGGCUAAGAACCUGACAUAGUCUUUGUGAGGAUGCAGGUUCGAUCCCAGGCCUUGCUCGGUGGGUUUGACCCACUGAGUGAGUGUUUUGACCUAGCUGCGUGUCCAGUAAAGUGAUUUAUUGUGUCCACCCCUCUAAAAGGAGUCUGUUACUAAGUCCUUCCUCACCAGAGGCAGAAGCUAUGAGGUUGAUAAAAGAACUUGCCAUAUUCAACACCCCUUGAAAUUUUUGAGAAGUCAUUAAGGAGUGGUUUUCCAUGGAAUUAGAGACCCUGUAACUGCAGAUGCAAGCUUCCGCUACAGAAAUAUUGUUUGUAUGACUUUGGUAAUGGUAACUCCCAUUUAUACUGAGUUUAUACCAUGCUGAGCAGGUACUAAGUGAUUUAUGGUAUUACCUGGUUUAAUAGCAAUGACAUCUGUAGGAAGUGACAAUUAUCCUUUCUCUUUCAUUGAUGGGCAAUGGGUUCAGCGAGCUUAUGUAACUUACCCAUGUCACAGGAUAGCAGGUAAUUUUAGGGACAAAAUUCAGAUCCAGGUUGAAUCUACAAAAUACUUAAAAAACACAUUACCUUGCUCAAGCAGUAAUACGAUGUAGUGAGGAGAGCUCUGGGCGGGUCUAACUAGGGGGUUUGUGUUCAGGGCUUACUGUGUGUUCUGGCUGCUCGUUUAAGACUUGUGGAGAGACACGUUUAUGUUCCUCAUGUUACAGACCAGGCAUCUGAAGCACAGAGGGGUGACACAGCUCACCCAAGUCACAUGACUAGUGAGCUGUGGCGCUGAGCCCAGUCUGGCUGUUUAGUCUCAUCUAGUGAUGAUCCCAUCAGAGACCUGGGUUUCAGUCUCCACAGGGGUAUUUUCUAGGCAGUUACUGGGCAACUAACUCACUUAACAAAUCCAAGUCUUGAUCUCCUCGCUUGUAAACUAGUGAUCCUACUUGUUUUAUCCUUUUUAGAAGCCUUCUACGGAAAAUAAGAUACUUGUGUACAAAUGCUUUUUAGGUUUCUAGAGCAUUAUAAAAUAUAAUUAAUUAUUGGAGUUCAGCAGAAACAAACCCAACUAUUACCAUUGCAAUGCAGGUUCGAUCCCUGGCCUCUUUCAGUGGGUUGAGGAUCCCAUGUUGCCAUGGCUGUGAU